AUACGUAGGGGGCGAGCGUUGUCCGGAUUUAUUGGGCGUAAAGGGUGCGUAGGCGGCCUUGUAAGUCAGAUGUGAAAUCUCACGGCUUAACCGUGGUAAGCAUUUGAAACUGUGAGGCUUGAGUACAGGAGAGGAGAGUGGAAUUCCUAGUGUAGCGGUGAAAUGCGUAGAUAUUAGGAGGAAUACCAGUGGCGAAGGCGACUCUCUGGACUGUAACUGACGCUGAGGAACGAAAGCGUGGGGAGCAAACAGGAUUAGAUACCCUGGUAGUCCACGCCGUAAACGAUGAGUGCUAGGUGUCGGGGGUCAAACCUCGGUGCCGCAGUUAACACAUUAAGCACUCCGCCUGGGGAGUACGGUGGCAACACUGAAACUCAAAGGAAUUGACGGGG
rnacentral:rRNA from 1 species